rnacentral:lncRNA from 1 species
AUGCUCCCUGGGCCCAGGAAACAUAAAGCCGAGCCCAUGGUCCACAGGGCGCUCCGGGACAGGGGAGUCUUCUUACGCACAGGGGUGGGCAGAGGGCGAGGGGCGGCUCAUUGGGAUCCGUCCGAGUGGCUUGUCCCUAGAGUCUCUGGAAGCCCCCACGGGCCAUUUUCCCCGGACCUAAGCCACCGACCCACCCAGGGUCAAGCCAGACCUGACGGAGGCCCCGGGGGCGGGCAGGGCCGACCGGAGCUUUGCGAGCCGCCUCCCUGCGGGAGGGAUCCGCGGGCAAGCACAGCGGCCCUCACCGCGACUUCCUUGGCUCUGGGAGCUCCGAGACGGAGGGAGGCCAGCUCCGAGCAAAGACGCGGCCCGGCUCCGGGCUUCCGGGCGCCGCCGCCGGCCGCGAGGCCCCGAGCCUGGGACUCGGAGGGGGCGCGCCGGGAGGGUGGGCUCGGGGCGCGGGGCGGGGCGGGGCGGGCCGGCAGGAAGUGCCCGGGGGCUCCGGCAGCCCGACCUCCGGGGCUGCCACGGCCGGAGCGCGGCGGGGUGCCCAGCGAGCGCCCCGAGCCUCCCGAGCGCCCCGAGCCUCCGGCUCCCGUCGCUGCGUGCGGAGCCCGAGAGUCCCCUGUCAGGGGUGGAUGGGCUGUGGCUGCUGCGUGCCCAGAGACCAGGUAAGAAGUUAGCAUUGCAGUCCAAGAACGAGAUGGCAAGGUCUGAACCAGACCUGUGGCAGCAGAGACGGUGAGCAGGAGACAGACACCCACAGGCAGGCAGUGAGUACCAUUAAGAGACAGCGGGGGAAUGACCCCAGGGAGGGGGAAGAAGGAGCCACAGGGGAGGUUGACAUGCAAAGGAAAGGCUAGGAGGACGGGGGAGUGCAGGUCCCAGAAGCCAGGGAGCAGGGGCUGGGCCACAGUGCCACAUGCUGAGAGAGAGCCCAGUGAUGUGAGGUGGUGAGGAUUCAGCUGUGCCAGAGUGGCAUCAGUGCAGGAUGGCAGUGGGUUAGGGAUUCGGGAGAGGGGACUCGGGCAGAUAUUUCCAAGUGAAGCCUAGGGAAGCAGCCAGAAGAAGGUCUAGGGUAAAGGAGCAUUUUUGCAUUGAAAAAAAGGGAAACUUGUGCAUACUGAUUUCCCUGAGAAAGAUUGCCCAGCUCCCAAAUCAUCUGAGAUCCAAGCUUUUUUAAACUAUGACUGCUCUUUUCAACUCGUAGCUCAAAGUGGCUGCUUGAGCUGCAGUCCUUUAAUCAACCUUCCAGGCAGCAGGAAGAAGGAAAGGGUGAGGAGAGACAUGCUCCCUCCUCAGUCUAAGGAUAUUUCUGAUUAUCAGAUAUAAAGAAUAACAUUUAUUGAUGACAAAAGGAUCGAUCUACCAGGAUGAUACCACAACUCCAACUCUGUAUAAAUAAUUGCAAAAUGUCUCAAGUAAAAAUGAACAGAACUGAAGGAGAGACAAAUUCAUGGUCACUGUGGGAGUCUUUCAACAGAGAGAGGGACAAGCAGAUACAAAAUCAGUAAGGAAAUAGAUGUGAAAAGUGCUGUUAACAAAUUUGGCCUCACGAGCACACAGAGUUCCGUACCCUACAACGGCAGUUUUCAUGUCAUUUAUUCAAAUGCACGUGAAACAUAUGCCCCCAAAAUGAGACCUCUAAGAAACUGCGUACAGCACUUCUGCCUACAUGCCAGGAGUUAACCCUGCUGCACCCCACAGGAAGGGGUGCCGGGCAGUGUCUGCUCCAGGUGGCCAGUACCCACUAGCACUGAGGGAUUCUGGUCCUGAGGCCAAAGGAGAGAACACGUAUCAAGGAAACCAGCCAUCUGUGUCCCUUCCUCAAUGCCUCCCCCGAUAGCUCUGGUUCUGAGAGCCACGCCCAACUGGUAAGACCUUGGGCAGGUCAGACGCUCUGCACUCUCUCCUGCCUCUGCCUCUUACUUGCUAUGUGACUCUGGACGGCUUAUGUAACUAGCUAAGCCUCUGUUACCUGAUUUUUCAAAAUGGGAGUAACUUGUACUUCCUAGGUCUGUUGGGAAGAUGGGAUAAGAUGACAUGUAUAAAGCACUUAAUUCUGUUCCUGGCACAUAAUAAGUGGACAAUAAAUGUGAGCUGCACAGACAGGUCAGGUAACUUACCCGAGGUCACACAGCCGAGAAAUGACAAGGCUAGCUUUUAGAUCCAAGCAUCUGGCUCCAAGCUGGUACUGCCAACUUCUCCAGGGCCUCUGCCACCCCCAGAACGGGGCCCUACCCAUAGCAGGGGUGCAGUGGGGGAUAGGAAACUGCUACCAGCAAUUAGUCAUGUCACUUUAGAGAGUGUUAGUGGGGACAUUCCGUCUCCGCAGAAGGUCGACUUAAUGAACCCAAAAUUUCCCAUGACCCUGACAUUCUGUGGUUCUGUCUCUACCACUAAUGGGUGAAAUUUUACCUUUAAAAAUGUGUUUCUUUUUGUUAAAUCCUGUCUUCUGCCUCAACUCCUUUUUCAGAAAUACGAUUUUCCUUUAGAGGGUCCUGACUCCUCAGUUUACAGGUCUAGAAGAGUCUGUGGCAUGGUUCUGUGGGCCCUGUUUGGGAGGAGAGCUACAGACAGGAGAGGCCAGGCCCCAAACAAACUGUCCAGUUGCUAAUGGCCCACGCUGGUGCAGAGGAGCUCUUGUCAGGGCCACCUGUGGAAUGACCGCAUAAUAGCUCCGGUUCCAGUCGCCCAGCUGACCCCAUCUGUCACCAUGUUUUGCACAUUUUUUUAUAGGCUUCCUUUUUUCUCCUUCUGUAUUUUUUUUUCCACCACACUGCCUCUCAGACAAAAUUGGAGAAAAAUGGGUUUUGUCCUUUUUUAACCAGAAGACUAAAACUCUUAAAUUACCUUCUUCAAGUUCUGCAAAUAGAAAUCCCAAAUAAGCCACCUUUUCCUUUCUCUCUUCCUCUCCCUGUCUUAGGAGCCCAGGAGCUUGAAAUAAAAGGCAGAAUGGUGGUUUAGGAGGAAUGAUCUGGGCUUGGCCCAGCACUGACCCAGGAAAAGGAGUGGGGUGGUGGCAAGGAGGGGUGGCUGGAGGGGGGCAGUGAGGGAGAAAGAGAUGUAAGGGAGCAAAGCCAGUGCCCCAUUGCUUAUGUUUCUAGAUUAAAAGAGGUUCCAAAAAAAAAUUUUUUUUAAAUAAUAAUAAAAGAGGUUCCCUCGAGACAGCCAGUUACUCAGGGAGCAGCCACUCUGAGUGUUAGAGCACAGGUGGGUGCCCAGGAGAAGAAGAAAGUACAAGGGUCGUUGUUCAGAGUCACUGAGAAGCACUAAGGACUACCAGGUGCAGUGAACCUCCUCUACCUGUGUCACCCCACCUAUGUCGCAGUUCCCAGGGACUCCAUCAGUGGGCAUCAGGACAAGGAGAGGGAGCAUGUCUCCAGGGCAAACACUAGGAAUUUUAGGGCUGGAGUCCUGGGUCCUAAUCCCUGCUAUGCAUGCUAAUAGUAAUAGCUAACAUUUAUUGAGCACUUAAUGUGUGCCAAGGAUUAUGCUAAACACCUCACAUAGAUUUAAUCUUCUAAACAAGCCUUCAAUGUAGGCAUCAUUAUCAUCUCUGCUACAGAUGAUGACACUGAGGAACGGGAGGUUGCAUGACUUGCCCAGAGUCUCGCGUAUCUUGUGGCAGACCUGGGUUGAACCCAGGGAGUCAGACUGCAGAGCUCUUGUACUUCCUUCUGCCAAAUGACUAGGUCUGCUGCUCUACUUCCUCGUUUGGAAAGUCGAGGUACAGGGGACCAGUGGGGUGGAGUGGGUGAAGUUGAGGUCCUUUCCAGUGUGGACUGUCUGAUCUGGAGCUCAUGCCUCACCUGGGCACACAGAGGUCCUGAGUGCCAGAGUCCAGGGCCAAGCAGGCAUGCCAGGUGUGCAUGAGGAGACGCGUGUGUGUGUGUGUGUAAAACAGGUACAUCUAGUCCUGUGACCCUGGUGACACAGCAGAGGGGAGUAUGAAUGCAACAAGACCAGUGCAAAGUCUGUAGGAAGACUUGUAGGUUAGAGUCAUGGCAAAGGGGCAAAACCAAGAUCCAGAGAGCCUAGAAAAUUCUGCCCAGUUCACGUCUAUUGUGCAUCCGUCAGCCUUUACAUUUCCCUGAUCUUUGCUCCCAGGUUUUAUACCCACAGCCUCCGACCCACCUAGCCAAAGAGGUUAGGAAGGGGCUCUGGCUCUGGGAA